rnacentral:lncRNA from 1 species
GGCUCAAUCUGAGGCUACUCAGAUAUUUUCCUGAGCUGCCAUGACUUCUGGUUGCCUGCUGUGAGAAACUGGUACCAGCCAGCUCACUUAAGCUGAUGAAAAAGUCUGAGUUAGAGGUAGGUACUGCCAGAUCUCAAGUUCCAGACUAAUAUUUUAAAACUGUAUUAAUUUAAGUGCCAAGCUGGAAAUGUGCCAUGCAGUUGUUUUUUUUUUUUAAAAAAAAAAACAUUAAUGUAUUUUGAUAAUUAAAUACUCUAGUUAUACCUUGAAAUGUAUUCCGUGAAUCCCAAAUCCUUGACAAACUUUUGUUGGCCAACAAAAUGAAUGCUGAAUUCACUGAGCUGCUGUCUAAAAUCCCAGGGUUUGUGG